rnacentral:rRNA from 1 species
GACGAACGCUGGCGGCGUGCCUAAUACAUGCAAGUCGAACGCAUUUUCUUUCACCGUAGCUUGCUACACCGAAAGAAAAUGAGUGGCGAACGGGUGAGUAACACGUGGGUAACCUGCCCAUCAGCGGGGGAUAACACUUGGAAACAGGUGCUAAUACCGCAUAAUUCCAUUUACCGCAUGGUAAAUGGAUGAAAGGCGCUUUUGCGUCACUGAUGGAUGGACCCGCGGUGCAUUAGCUAGUUGGUGGGGUAACGGCCUACCAAGGCUGCGAUGCAUAGCCGACCUGAGAGGGUGAUCGGCCACACUGGGACUGAGACACGGCCCAGACUCCUACGGGAGGCAGCAGUAGGGAAUCUUCGGCAAUGGACGCAAGUCUGACCGAGCAACGCCGCGUGAGUGAAGAAGGUUUUCGGAUCGUAAAACUCUGUUGUUAGAGAAGAUCAAGGAUGAGAGUGGAAAGUUCAUCCCUUGACGGUAUCUAACCAGAAAGCCACGGCUAACUACGUG